rnacentral:lncRNA from 1 species
GGGGACAAUGCCGACUUUGUGUUCUUGGAUCAUCCAGCAAGUGGCACCCUCUUUUAUGUUCAUCUGAGGAGCAGGGUGGUUGAGAAGGUCUGCCAGAGGGGGGCAGAUGAAUGUGGAUAUAAACGUGUGGAUGCUGGUCACGUACGUGUAUCUCCUGUUAUGAUGAUCUGGCCGCCUAUCUUCCCAGCGCAGAACGUGGGUCAUGAGGAAUGACCCCCCUGUGGUUGAUCGUUGUACUAUCUAAACUGAGUAUGAGUUCUGUAAUAUAGAGGUAUGUACUUUGAGUUAUUUCUCUUCCUAGAACAGCAGAUACUGCAGUCAUGUAAGUUGGGUCUUAAGAACCUAUGUUCAUUUCAGUAAUUUGUAUAUUGCAAUAUAUCCUGCAAGACUGCACUGAUCUUCUAAGCUGACAGUAGUUUGUAUAAGAUAUUCCAUAUAUGAGGACUUUCUGGUAAUGAUCGGUUGCGUAGAAGAACUUUAAAUGGUGGCCAAAUAAAAACGACAAGCAGCAACUGGAAGAGAAAUAACUGAAAAUACAGCUCUUUUCAAGGAAGUUUCUUUUGUGUUCUCGGCAACGGUGGCUUAGACGGUAAGACAAGGUAUGAAUGUGCUGUGAUGUCCAUUUUUAUUCACAUUAAAACUGACUUCUGUUUCCAUUUUUUUUUAUGUCUACAAAGCUAUAAUCCACUCACCAUCACUAGUUCACUGCUAUGAUAGAUGCCAUUGAAUGAAGUUUUAUCCCAAUGUCAUGCAGAAAAAAAAGUGAUUUGUGUUGUCCACAAACUCCACAACAAUGGUAUUCCUUGUUACACACGCACAAAUGGCAAAAACAGUAAAUUAGAGUGCAUCCAAUCCUAGCUUGUCAGGAACCUGCUGAAUCAAUAACUAAAGCAUUGAUUUGAUUAAUACCACCAUCCAUUUUUCUAUGUAUGGUACUACUAACUAAAGUUCAGCCUAACUGAAGCAUCAUUACAAGAAAUAUGAAAGAUCAGCCAGGGUCCUGACCAUAGCUAACUGUAUGAUUUUGCCUCCUCCCAAAAGCAAAGAUUACAGGAGGUGCUAGAGUUCAUUAGAUGGAGUUUCAUCCCAAAUUCGCAAUGGCAUCCAGAAAAGGAAAAUGUGAGGCAUCAUGUCCACAACUCCACACAAUUGGUAUUCCUUCUCACGCACAAAUGGCAAAAAGCAAGGAAUUAGAGUUUAUCUAAACCUACCUUAUCUGGAACCUGAUGAAUCAUCAGCUGAAGCAUUGAUUCAGUUGAUACCACCAAAGUUCAGUCUAUCUCAAAUCUUGAUUCUUCCCACCAUUUUUCUAUGUACGAUACUAACAACGCAAGUUCAGUCUGUCUCGAAUCUUGAUUCUUCUUCAUCUUUGCUUAUUCGAGACACUAUUAAAAAAACAUCAAAGAUCAGCCACUGCCCUGGCCAUAGCUAACUCUAUGAUUUUGGCCCCUCCCAAAAGGUGGUAGCUAGAACUAAGUUUUCUUGCCAUGUCUCGUUUGGUACAAUGACAAAAUCACCAUAGGAACAGUGCCGUUUAUAUAACGAAACUCCAUUAAAGAAAAAGGUACAUGCUGAACUCAAGAUUUUCUCGUUUGGUCUUUACAAUCUUCAGUGAUUGGUUGGUUGCUUAACUAAAACCUGGUCUAGAAAGGAUAAAAGAACAGUCAAACAGUCAAGGAAUUUCAAACAGUCAAACCGAGAUCUCUCCCUUUAUGAUGAUCUGGCCGCCUGUGUUCCAGGCACGGAAUGUAGGGCAUGAUCAAGAGGAAUGAUCCUCUCUGUGUUUGAUCUUUGUAAUAUCAUCACUGCGUAUGACUUCUGUAAUAGGAAGGCAUGUUGCUGAUGAGGUAAUGGAAAUUGAUGAGAGAAAAAAUUAUCUGGAUGGGUUUGAUUGCAUCUCCUCUGACUAAUGUAUGUUGUUUCACUCUGUUUAAUUCCACUCCCUAGUUUGAAACGUGUUUUGCAUGCAUCGAAUUUGUCAUGACUGUCGAACAAUGUGUUUUUCCUGGUUCGCGGUAUAGUUCAGGGAUGGUAUUAUUCGGUUUUUCCUUUUUUUAUUUUUCUUUUGCUUUUUAAAAUGCGUGUUUUUUAAGAAUAUCGUGUUUUGUAAAAUUGAUGAACUUUUUUUAAAAAUGAUUUUUUCAGAUUUGAUGACCUUUUUUCAAAUUCGAUGAUUUUUUCCAAAAUGGAUGAACUUUUUUCAGAUUACAUGAACGUUUUUCAAAUUCAAUGUUUUUUUCAGAUUACAUGAACUUUCAAAUUCGAUGAACUUUUUCUUCAAGAUCGAUGAUUUUUUUCAAAUUUGAUGAAGUUUUUUUAGUCCGGUGAACUUUUUUCAAAAUUGAUGAACUUUUCCAAUAUUGGUUAACUUUUUUUAAAUUCAAUGAACUUUUUUUCAAUUUGAUGAAAGGUUUUCAAUUUUGAUGAACUUUUUUUCAAAAUUGAUGAACUUUUUCCCAAAUUUAUGAACUUUUUUUCUAAAACAUGUGAACACUUUUGAAUCCAUGUUUUGAUUUUCAGCAUCCAAAUUUGUUACCUACAUUUAUUCUUUACUUCGGAAAAUAAAGUUAUAUCCCAGAAAUAUUAUUUCAGUUCUUUCAUUUACAAACACCAUUUUCUACAAAACCGUGCUUCCAAAAGAAUUUUUUGGAAUAGAAUCAAUCAAUCCAAUAGCUGACACUAGUUAGCAAAAGAGUUCUCCAAAAAGAAAACAGUGAACGAACCAGUUACUCGCUAAGGAGCCACACAUGACGUCCUAAAGAAAGGCGGAUUAAGGAGGCACACAUGGCGUCCUAAAGAAAGGCCUAUAACGAGCGAGCUUCUCGCUAACCUUCAGGCACGCGAAAGAAACAGCGAACGAACCAGCGGUGAUGGGCCGAAUGAAAUCAGCCCACAGAAGAUCGCUGUAGGCGCCACGUCUCCCAACGGGGGGAGAGCAACUAGUUAACGAGUGCUCCUUUGAAAGCCUCGCAAUAAUCAGCGUCACUUGACGCGCUUUCAGUCAUUCGUCACGUAUCGCGCUUUGGGAGCUUUCUUUGGAUUUUGUUUUUUUUUAAUAUUUCCGCACGCAUUUCGGCUUUUUAACAGUCUUUUUUUGUUUUUUCGACGUUUUGGAUUUCCGCCUGUCCUCCUUAGCUCUUCGAUCAAAUUUUAUUUUCAAAAAAGCGUGAAAAAACGCAUUUUUUUCUCUUUUUUCUUUCGCGGGAGUCACGGUCCGUGCCUCUCGGAAACAAAAAAAACGUGUUUUUUUUUCACGAGAGUCACGGUUUUGCUUUCGCGGGAGGCAAGGUUGUGCUUUAGCGAUAAUCACGGCCGUGCCUCUCGUAAACGAAAAAAUGCAUUUUCUGUUUUUUUUCUUUUGGGAGAGUCAUGGUUUUGCUUCAGCGAGAGGCAUGAUUGUACUUUCACGAGAGUCACAGCCGUUCCUUCAGGAAACGGAAAAAACACAUUUUUUUUUCUUUUCUUUCGCGAGAGUCACGUUUUGCUUCUGUGAGAGGCACGGUUGUGCUCUCGCGAGAGUCACGGCCGUGCCUCCUCGGAAACGGAAAAAUAUGUGUUUUCUCUCUUUCUUUUCUUCUGCAAGAGUCACGGUUUUGCUUUCGCGAGAGAUAUGGUUAUGAUUUCGUGAGAGGCAUGGGUAUAGCUGGCCAAACGGGCCGUGCUAACUGGGCCGGCCCGGUAGCACGCAGGAACGGCACGGCCCAGGCACGGCACGACCCGAGCUAAACGGGCUAGGCCCGGCACGCGGCACGCCAUGGGCCAUGCCUGGGCCUGGAGGCUGGGCACGCGGGCCGGCACGGCACGGCCCGUUUAAAUUUUUUUUGGAAUUUUUUUAUAUAUAUGACCUAAAUUACAGCCCAAUAGGCCUAAAAUACAGCCCAACAGGCUAAAAAUCAGAUGGGCCAGCGUGCUAAACAUGCCACGGGCCGGCCCAUUUAAUAAUCAGGCCGUGCCUGGGCCAGAGAGCCACGCUAUUAAACGUGCCACGGCGGGCCGUGCCGGGCCAGGCACGAUUAGCACGGGCUGGGCCGUGCCGUGCCGGGCCGGCCCGUUUGGCUAGGUCUGGGCAUGGGCGUGCCUCUUUCGAAAAGGGAAAAAACCCGUGCUCACGGUUCGGUUUUUCAUUCGAUUAUUUUCGUGAAAAAAAGUUCAUCAAAAUCUAUCAACAUCGGACCUAGUUUUGACGAUCUCGACAUGAGGAAUCCAACGGUGAAAAUGGUUCGAGAUUUGGAUGCACGGUUUAAAAGGUAAAACGUUUUGAAUAAGCGGAUCUAUGAAAAAGAGAAAAACUCAAAGGUUACGACAAGUGGCACACAUGCAACGUGCCACUUGACGCAAUCUGGGGAGGUUGGGGUGAUCGUUAUAACGAGUACUCCUCAACUAGUGAUUUCGCCCAACGAACACCUACAUCGUUCAAUAGAAGCUCCCAUUUAAAGGACCCACGCUUUCAUUAGCUAGGGGUGCCCCUAGCACGAACCCAAUUUUCAUAACAUGUAUAAUAAAAUUGUCAUCAAGUUGAAAAAAUGGAUCCAUACUAGUUAUGUAAACUUAAAAAUGCCAGAAUUUAAGAAAACAUAGAAGAAACCUUGGCAAAAAAAGUUUCAACAUAAGGAUAUCCAUGUUUAUAUAAACAAAUUUUCCAUGGUCCAAAGCAAUUAGUUUGCCAUGGUUUAAAUUCAUAAAGUUUGCCAUGUUCCAAACAUAUAAAAUUUGCCAUGAUUUGAAGUAGGGAUUUGCCAUGAUCCAAAUAAUGAUUUUUUCCAUGGUUUGAUUUUUUAUUUUUAUUUGCAUUCGAUAAAAAAUCAAUUUGCCAUGUUGAAAAAUAAAAAAGUUCCAUGAUCCGAGGUAUGGAUUUUCCAUUGUCCAAAAAAAUGUUAUUGGUUAAAAAGGCAAAUUUGUGAUGGUCUAACCUACAUCUUUUCCAUAGGCAAACAAUAACUUUUUCACAUUUGAAAAUAUGAAUAUGCCUCCGCCUCCCCUAGCCGCGCGCAUCACGGUUGGAUCUACAAUACCAUUUGGGAACCGACGGAAGUCACUGGUGCUACCGCCGCAUGCCCUCGUUGUGCCUGGGUGGCGUCGUUGUGAGUUGGCGGGUGGGGACGAGAAGAAGACAAGGUGAGGGGAAUAAACGAGUGGGCGACCGAGUGAGGGGAAGAUGCGAAGGAUUCUGAAAUGUCGCUGACAACGAGGCACAAAAAUUUACUCCGUGGUUUAUAUUAAUAUAAUUCAACGAUAGGAAGCACGUUCAUGACGAGAUUUUAAAAUUUUGACGUCAGAUUUUUAUGGAUUCCAUUAUUUGAUGAUUUUAAUAAGUUUAAAACAUAAUAAUUUUGUGUAGAAACGAAGGAAGGAAAAGGAAGGAAACGAUCGAUUCAGCUGGCCUAUCCAUUCUGCUCCUCUCCCACCGAAACCCUCCCCUCCGGAAAAUCCCCCAAACUUUGGUUGGCCAAAAUCAUGGACGGAGAUCGACGGACGCCGGCGGCCGCGGCCGCAUCCGUGCUUGACGACGACGACCUCCUCCGCGAGAUCCUCCUCCGCCUCGGCUUCCCCACCUGCCUCGUCCACGCGGCCCUCGUCUCCAAGCGGUGGCUCCACCACGCCUCCGACCCGGCCUUCCUCCGCCGCUUCCGCGACCGCAACCCGCCCCGCCUCCUCGGGAUCUGCCUCUGCUUCUCCGGCCGGUACCGGUUCGUGCCGUUCCCGCCGCAGCCCCCGGAGCUCGCCGCUCCCAUUCGCCGGGCGACCUCCUCCUGCGCCGCCGCCUUCGCCCGCAGAAUCCUGCCAAUCAAGCACUGCCGGAACGGCCGCCUCAUCAUAGAGUUCUUCGACGACGACAGAUGCGAUUACUCCCUCGCUCCGCUGCUCGCCGGUGAGCCCGCAGCCGUCCUCCCGACGACCCCGCUACCCCACCUUGACUGGGACACCACUCAAGGUAGAUUGGUUGAGAUGUUCCUGCCCGAGGAUGGGGGCCGCAACGGCAUCACCUUGCUGUAUCUCUGGGCGGUCCGGCGAAAAGUCUACGCCGAGUUGUACGUUCUGGGAUCCGGCGGAUGGGGCGUCCCAGCCACCGCAGUGACAGAGAUAGAGCUCUCGUUUGACACAGAAUUCCUUGAAAUUCUACCACCCAUCCAUGGCAAGGUCUUCGUGCUCACCGACUCUGGGUAUGCCCUGGGUUUAGAGUUGGCAGCGGCGAGCUUCUUCACCCUUGAGCUCCCAGUUGGAGUGCGCCACAAUUACAAGCUCUCAUGUGCGGAGGAUUCCGGGCUCUAUCUUGUCAGUGCAGAUGGGUUUCAGCUCAGUGUGUAGCUCCAUCCGAUGUCGGGCGACGGCAAUGGUGCUGGCUGGCUGCUGGUGGACACAUUUUGUGUCCGUGAGGCUGAGGCUUGUGCACGUCUUGUAAGGGACCGUUGGAUCCCUCCCGGUAAUUACCUUGAUGUUGCUGCGGUCGGGGACAAUGCCGACUUUGUGUUCUUGGAUCAUACAGCAAGUGGCACUCUCUUUUAUGUUCAUCUGAGGAGCAGGGUAGUUGAGAAAGUCCAUAAGAGGGUGCCAGAAAAAUGUUAUGUACCUCACCAAAUGGCUCUCUCUCCCAUUGUGAUGAUCUGGCCGCCUGUUUUCCCUGCACGAGAGGUAGGACAUGAUCAAGAGGAAUGACCCCCUGUGUUUGAUCUUUGUAAUAUCUUCACCGGGUAUGACUUCUGUAAUAGAGAGGUAUGUUUCUGACUGUGGUAAUGGAAAUUGAUGAAAAAUCAAAAUUAUGCUGAUGGGCUUGGUUGCAUCUCGUCUGACUAAUGUAAUGUAUGCUAUUUCACCGUGAUGUUCCUCUCCUUAGUUUGGAAUGUGUUUGCAAUGUGUUGAAACAAUGUGUGCAAGUCUAUCUGCUAUUUACCCAGAACUAAAAUAUAGUAGACUCUUUAAAUGUAAUGGUUACCAAUGUGAUUAACAGAUACAAAGAUUAGUCGAUUCAAAUGUGUAGAGUUUGUGUCACCAGCUCAUAGUCGUAAUCUUGUAGGUUGGAUCAUAAGAACCUUUUUU